UGGCCAAUGUACAUGGCAGAGGGGCAUUUGCUGGUAAAAUUAUGAUUGAUUUAUGUGAAAAUCAGAGACUAUUUUUGGUAAAAACUUAGGAUGAAUGGGAAAAAUCACUUUAUCCUUAUGAAACACUGAAUGGUGGAUCAGCCAUUAAUACAUGCCAAGUCACUUAUGCAUUUCACUGCAGUGACUGUAUUGAAAACACUGUUUUUAUAGAUAGAUGAGAUGAAGAACAGCUCCCCAAAAGGUCAAAGGGAGGUCUCAAUUUUGCUAGUGCUACAUUCAAAUCCGAGGAGGGCACAGGAGUUCUUAUUUGAGGAUAGAAAUUAUUAGAGUCUUUUAAAAACUUCUUAACCAGAUCAUUAGGAAAAUGGAUUUUACCUUAACAGGUAUAUGAUAUUCUGGUAAGGCUGAGAGAUUAAACUUAAUUGAAGAUAACGAAAGAGGUGUCUUCUUAAGAUACAAUAAAUACUCUAAUAUAUAAUUGGAGCCAUACAAGAAUCCACAUUAUACAAGGAAAUCCAUGAUAAAAACCUUUUCCCUUUAAGAAUAUAGCACAUCCAUGUGAAUUCUUUUCUACAAUACAACAGUACAUUGUGUACUUCGAAAGGUACUUUCUUCUAAAGGUCCCUUCUUUCUAAAGGUCAUGCAGCCCAGAGAAGGGACCUAAGGUGUGGAUGACAGACUUUCCCUCUUUGCUGUGUCAACAAGUCCGGUCUCAGCAGCAGAGGUUCAACUAAUCCUUGUGACACGUAAUCAAAUCCAGAUUCCAUUGCUGUCUGGGCCAUGCUGGUGCUAUUAAAAUCACGCGGCCUUGUCUUAUUGUGUUUAUCACUCUCUGAAUCAGGGGAAAUGCAUACAUUAGAUCCUACACCACCUUGCAGAAUCCAGGAAUCUACAUAUAAUGGGCCCAAUGACAAAGCCUGAGCCCUGGCUAUGAUAAAAGUACCUUUAAUGGAAAUGAUCUCUAAGAUUAAAUGCCACAGUUUGCUACAACACACAGAACAAGUCCCAUACAUGGCUCAUAGAAGCAAGUGGCCAUUUUACCUUCACUGUGCCGUCAGAGGACGCACUGAUAAUAUAGUGACCAUCCUGUGUAAAAGUAGCUUCAUUAACAAAUGAAGAAUGACCACGGAAUUCCUUCAGAGUUUUUCCCGAUUUUAAGCCAUGAAUCCUGUUACAAAAUUUAAAAAAACAUGGUAAAAAAAACAAUAAUUAAUCCAGGUUGUCUGUAGAGAGGUACAAGUCAGUGAUGUAAAAUAAAGGAAGAAUUUAGUUUGCUGUCUGAUGUACAGAGCAAGUAAUAAAACAGGCUAACACAUCUGCAUCUAGAAUAAUACAUUUGUCAUCACAAACCCCUUUCCCCAGAUAUAA